ACUAGUAUUGAAGUCCACGGGGAUCAGGCUUUCCGAAAGGAGGGUGGGGGGAUGUUUGGUUCCCCCUGCUUGAGCAGACUGGAGAGCAUGGUGUAACUACCGUCAUAUGGUAGCUAGAUUAUGUUUGGCCUCUGCUGAUCGAGCUUGUCACCUGAAUUCUACUACCCUUGCUUUUUUGCGCACCCAUUGUUUCCUCGGCAGGCUUGCCUGCCAGUAGGACCCCUUGAAAACCCUUUGUAAUUGCAAUCAGCGUCAGAAACAACGUAAUCGUUAC
rnacentral:misc_RNA from 1 species